rnacentral:misc_RNA from 1 species
CUUGAUCACCAUCCUGCAGAAAUGCAAUUGAAUUAAUAGCAUCCUUUUCACAUUAAGAACAUAUAUCACAAAUGUAAGACAUCUCACUUUCUAAUGUACAAUCAAUUUUUUCAAAGGUUGAAAAAGCUCAAGAAUAAUGCCAAUUGAAUUUGGACAUCAGUCAAAAAAAAGGGAACCAUAGUAGCCUUAAGAUAAAAUAUCAAGGAAAACAAAAGUUUAUGAACAUUAACACAUAAAUUAGGAUAUUUCUUAAAGAAAAUUUGAAAAAACCAACAUAGCUAAGGAUAUAACAUAUAAGAAAGUGAUAAAGUAAAUUGAGAACCAACUAAAUGAAUUUUGUGGUGUUUUUUACAUCGGUUUAAUCAAUACUUGGGAAGAACAUACACAUCAGCAGGCUACUAUUGUUAUUCUCAUACAAGAGGAAGAAAGGUAAAGCUUAGAAGAAAUUUUGUUGGAAAAAAAUUAAGAUCAAUUAGGGCGAACCCUUUCCCAAAAAACUGAUGCAACAAAUGAACCAGGAUUACUUCAAAGGGUAAAUUAUAGGAUGACCCUUGAGGUUUGGCAAAAACCAUCGGAUGGUCCUUGUUGUUUGAAAAUGUAACAAUUUAAUUGCUUAGGUAUGAUUUCUUUAACAAUAACACCCAUCCAAAAAUUUAAGACAUUAGCCAAAGAAAAAAUAAUUAAAAAAAAUAAAAUCAUAAGUUCAAAAACGUCCCUGUUGACCAUGGUUGCCUACUUGAAAAUAAUUAAGAAAAGAUUUU